AAUUGGCAGAAUUAUAACUUUUUUUGCAGCAACAAUACUGUUAAACGUCUACAGGCCAACAUUAUUUACGUUAAAUGAUGAACAGUUUACCUCAAACGGCCAACCUACCUUACGCGACUCGCAUAAUCGUGUUAAGGUAACGUUAUCUGAGACGACAGAUUAAUAAAGUUUUAUUAGGUUUCAGAAAGUGACUGAUGGCUGAAAUAUGCGAAUACCUGUGAAAAUAGAGGAAAAAGUAGUUUCUGACACUGAAAAGCGAAUUUGAUAUUUAAGUGAGUCAAAUGAGUUCAAAAAGUGAAUACGACUUUCUGCUCUAAUGUAAACGCCUGCAGUUGUCCAUAUCGACAUUUAAAUCAUACAAAUUACGUACAAUAUAGUCGGACCGCAGGUCUAAAAGAACCGACGACCCAGUUCAAGUAAACCGGUUCAGUAAUUCUCGAACAAAGUGAUUCCCGGAAAAGAAUCGACGUCUCAGGGCAUUUCAAAGUACGCGCACGCACAGCGAGUGACGCUGGCCGCGUUAGUGAAGUGAUUUGAUGCUUUUGUGGUUUAUAAAGUCUUUUUACAUACAAAUUAUAAUUCAAAAUGUGUUUUUUUUCCUGUCAGAAAAGCGCAUGGAUACAUUUGUGAGAGAAAAACUGGUCGAGUGCAGUCUUAUUGAGGCGUCUAACGGUAAGUUCUUGUUUAUUAUACAUUUUACAUAAUUGUUUGUCUGUGAUAAUCAACUAACGUUAACCCUCACGUAACUUAAACGCACAUAUAUUUUUAUUUCGUGCUAUAGUUAAAGCUGCACCAGAAUGUACCUAAUUUAUUAAUUUUCCAGAUCGUGUUUUUGACUUGUCCUUAUCACUUUGCUACAUCUAUAAGUUUUUAUAUAUGGACUGUUUUACCUACGUGACUUGUCAUAGAAAUGUCUGUGUGCGCACAUGCAGUGUGAUCUCCCUUAUCUGUGCCAGUGACUGUGUGUGUUUGAUAUAGUCAUAGCCAGCAUAUUAACAUAAAACUGUGAUUUAUAAUAACUGGAACAUCCCAUUGAUUAGACAGUUUGAAAGCACACCUUUCAGCCAAUCACUAUAUCAUAUUCUGCUUCUGUAGACCAACUCAUAGGUGAAUUUAACUCAUAAUCAUGAUGGGUCAAUUUCAUGAUUAACUUCACACAGUUAAUUGAACUGAAUCACUGUUAUUAAAACAAUUUGUAUUUUUUCUUUUUUUUUCAACUUUAUUUUAAAGGUUGGAACAAAAAUGAAAUUCCUUAACUGAGCAGAGUCCACAAGACCCCAUCCAGUUGUCGUGGCGAUUUAAAAAUGCCAGCAGAUCUCUCAGGCAUUGAUCAUAAUCAAUGGACAGGUCACCGUAGCCACCCGUAUCCAGUACGUAUCCAGACCAGAUGGAGAUCAUCAUCUAGAAAGGACCUCUACAUCCCUGAAAGACAGCGGAGACCAGGACAACUAGAGCCCCAGAUACAGAUCCCCUGUAAAGACCUUGUCUCAGAGGAGCACCAGGACAAGACCACAGGAAACAGAUGAUUCUUCUGCACAAUCUGACUUUGCUGCAGCCUGGAAUUGAACUACUGGUUUCGUCUGGUCAGAGGAGAACUGCCCCCCAACUGAGCCUGGUUUCUCCCAAGGUUUUUUUCUCCAUUCUGUCAACGAUGGAGUUUUUGUUCCUUGUUUUUCUUUAGUUGGGGACAAUUAAUAUCAAGCGAUAUCAUCCACUUGAUUGCACAGAGGGACGAUACAUCACUGAAUCAAUGACGAAUUGACUUUAACUGAAAACUGAGUGUUUACUUUUGUCCCUUUGCAUUAUUACACACUAUUUUCCUAUUCAAUACUGUAAAGCUGCUAUGAUGCAGUAUUUGAUCGAUAUGACAGGCUUAUUACUCAUAAUACAUGGAAAAUACAGCUACAAACUGACUUUGUUUUUCCAUUUGAAAUUUGGCAGUCACUAAACUGAAACCGUAAUUUUUGUUCAGUGUUUUUGAAACAGUGUUUUUGUUCAAGAUUUGCAAUUGUGUUUGGAUUGUCACAAUUUGUCACAAUCCAAAUGUGGAAAACGCAAUUGAUAAAUAUAAUUAGCAAUUCCUUUUGAAAAUUGUCCUUCCAUAGACAGGCUCUAUAAUGGAGUACACUGCUCUGAGGUGUAGAUCUUUGCUUCAGAGCUUAAGUGUUUGACAAUAGUUCACCCAAAAAUGAAAAUUGUCACUAAUUAUUCACCCUGGUCUGAAAGCUCUCGAAUAUCAACGAAAAUAUCUUAACUUGUGUUCUGAAGAUGAACGAAGGGCUUACGGGUUUGUAACGACAUGAAGUUGAGUAAUAAAUGACAGAAUUUUCAUUUUUGGGUGAACUAUAUGUUGAACUACCCUAAGCAGUGCACAUCUACCUACGUAGGAGUCUUUAUAUACUUGAUAUAAAUUUAAGGACAUCUUUAAAUGAUUUUACAUUUAAAUUUAAAAAUGUUAAUUGUCAAUGUCAUUUCACUGUGUAUUUAAAUAGCUAAAAAUCUCAAAAUGUAAUAGUUAAACAGCUAGACACAGGUCAUUCAGAAAUAAUUUUCUUAUUUAUUGCAACUGUAUUUCUGUGAUUUUUAUUUAUUUAUUUUGCAUUUGCUGGAAACAAAAAAAGGGAAAAUUCCAUGUUGUUUGUCAUUGGUAAAAAAAAUUUGAAUGUCAGAUGGCAUUAAAAAUAUUUUUUAACAGUCUAAAUAA